UACGAAGGGGGCUAGCGUUGCUCGGAAUCACUGGGCGUAAAGCGCACGUAGGCGGCUUCUUAAGUCAGGGGUGAAAUCCUGGAGCUCAACUCCAGAACUGCCUUUGAUACUGAAGAUCUUGAGUUCGGGAGAGGUGAGUGGAAUUCCGAGUGUAGAGGUGAAAUUCGUAGAUAUUCGGAAGAACACCAGUGGCGAAGGCGGCUCACUGGACUGGUAUUGACGCUGAGGUGCGAAAGCGUGGGGAGCAAACAGGG
rnacentral:rRNA from 1 species